rnacentral:rRNA from 1 species
GCACCACAAGAGCGUGGAGUAUGUGGCUUAAUUCGACUCAACGCGCAAUAACUUAUUUGGUCCGAACGCUUUGAGGAUUGACAGUUUCUGGUACAAUGUGCGGCUUGUUUGUUACAACUGCGAAUGAUUCGAUUUGUUGUAAAUAUGACUUGACCGGCCUUCGGGUGUCUUGGAUGGGUCGUAUCAAGUCGUACAUUGUAUUCAAUGAGAAAGUUCUUUUAUGAUUAUGUGGUAGGUGGUACAUGGCCGUCUUUAAUUCGUGGAGUGAUCUGUCUGCUUAAUUGCGCAUUGCAAAUUGUAAUUAAUCUGGCUUGGAUGAUCGUUUGAUUUCGAUUUGAAUGCCAUUUCUUUUUUCGAGAAUGACUUGCCCUAAAGAUUGAUUAACACCGUGAGUGCAACGAGUGAGAUUGCGAGUCUUUGUUAUGUAGUGCUCAACAUACCUAUGUGCAGUAGGAUUUAACUACACCAUGUAACCUUUUUCAAAGGUUGAAUGAACUUAGGCGACUGCUAUACUUUUAAGAUGGUCGAAGGUUGUGGCAAUGACAGGUCU